rfam:Spinacia oleracea complete chloroplast genome
GAGAGCACAGUACGAUGAAAGUUGUAAGCUGUGUUCGGGGGGGAGUUAUUGUCUAUCGUUGGCCUCUAUGGUAGAAUCAUACAGUCGGGGGCCUGAGAGACGGUGGUUUACCCUGU